CGUCAAAUAGCUCUCGUCCAACAUCGCCUUCUGCUGCGCCUCCUUUCCUCCGGCAACCUCCCCCUUCACUCCCCUCUUUUAGUCCGCACUACUAACGAGCUCAGGCCUCGCCGCCUUCUUCUCUCCCAGUUAGUCCUCGCCUGCCUUUUUCUCUCCCACGACCAGCGAACUCGCCUCUGACCCAGACCGUCGGUGGUCGGAAGACAUCGCCAAUCCUUCCUCUCGCCUCCUAUGUUCUCGGCGUCUUGUAUCCGAACCCAAAGCCUCGUCUUCCAUCUCAGUGCCAGUCAAACAGUCUAGAGUUGCAAUGGAUCCCGGCAUGGAGCAACUUAGGCAAACUUUGGUUGAGGUUGAGACAGAAGCUGAGGAACUUCUUUUAGCAAGACACCAAAAAAUGAUAGGCUUAGAAAUGAUAAUGGACAAGCUCUCACAGUUCUACGUAGGAGAGCACAAACAACAAUGAGUAGUGUUCCAUCACCCUUCGAAGCAAUCAUGCGAGAAAUAGAGGGAAC